CAAGGCUUUGAUGUUUGCAGGUGGCAGGAGGCUCUGACUGUCUACCCGCGGACCAACAAACAGAACCACAAGAAAAAGCGCAAAGUCGAUCCACCUACUCAACAGCAGGGUGGACUCGCCUCAAACCAGCAUUUUUCCUCUGAAGAUAUAAACGGACACCCAGAACCUGGUCCAGCCAAGGUGACUGUGACCAGCAGCGGCGGUGGGUGGCGGCGUGCCCUGCCGCUCCAAUAGCAUCGCCACCGCCGAGCGAGUCCCGAUGAGCCGGGCCAGCCUGUGGCAGGAAGAGGCUCGCUGGAGCCGCACCACCAUCCCCUGCAGCCGCAGCGCCUCCUGUCUGAGCCAGCUGUCCCAGAGCCAGCCAGAAUCCACUGUCACCACCCAGGAUGAUAGCGGCUCUGUGAGGACUGG